AGAGUUUGAUCCUGGCUCAGGACGAACGCUGGCGGCGUGCUUAACACAUGCAAGUCGAACGGAAAGGCCCUGCUUUUGUGGGGUGCUCGAGUGGCGAACGGGUGAGUAACACGUGAGUAACCUGCCCUUGACUUUGGGAUAACUUCAGGAAACUGGGGCUAAUACCGGAUAGGAGCUCCUGCUGCAUGGUGGGGGUUGGAAAGUUUCGGCGGUUGGGGAUGGACUCGCGGCUUAUCAGCUUGUUGGUGGGGUAGUGGCUUACCAAGGCUUUGACGGGUAGCCGGCCUGAGAGGGUGACCGGCCACAUUGGGACUGAGAUACGGCCCAGACUCCUACGGGAGGCAGCAGUGGGGAAUAUUGCACAAUGGGCGGAAGCCUGAUGCAGCAACGCCGCGUGCGGGAUGACGGCCUUCGGGUUGUAAACCGCUUUCGCCUGUGACGAAGCGUGAGUGACGGUAAUGGGUAAAGAAGCACCGGCUAACUACGUGCCAGCAGCCGCGGUGAUACGUAGGGUGCGAGCGUUGUCCGGAUUUAUUGGGCGUAAAGGGCUCGUAGGUGGUUGAUCGCGUCGGAAGUGUAAUCUUGGGGCUUAACCCUGAGCGUGCUUUCGAUACGGGUUGACUUGAGGAAGGUAGGGGAGAAUGGAAUUCCUGGUGGAGCGGUGGAAUGCGCAGAUAUCAGGAGGAACACCAGUGGCGAAGGCGGUUCUCUGGGCCUUUCCUGACGCUGAGGAGCGAAAGCGUGGGGAGCGAACAGGCUUAGAUACCCUGGUAGUCCACGCUGUAAACGGUGGGUACUAGGUGUGGGGUCCAUUCCACGGGUUCCGUGCCGUAGCUAACGCUUUAAGUACCCCGCCUGGGGAGUACGGCCGCAAGGCUAAAACUCAAAGGAAUUGACGGGGCCCCGCACAAGCGGCGGAGCAUGCGGAUUAAUUCGAUGCAACGCGUAGAACCUUACCUGGGUUUGACAUGGAUCGGGAGUGCUCAGAGAUGGGUGUGCCUCUUUUGGGGUCGGUUCACAGGUGGUGCAUGCCUGUCGUCAGCUCGUGUCGUGAGAUGUUGGGUUAAGUCCCGCAACGAGCGCAACCCUUGUUCACUGUUGCCAGCACGUUAUGGUGGGGACUCAGUGGAGACCGCCGGGGUCAACUCGGAGGAAGGUGGGGAUGACGUCAAGUCAUCAUGCCCCUUAUGUCCAGGGCUUCACGCAUGCUACAAUGGCUGGUACAGAGAGUGGCGAGCCUGUGAGGGUGAGCGAAUCUCGGAAAGCCGGUCUCAGUUCGGAUUGGGGUCUGCAACUCGACCUCAUGAAGUCGGAGUCGCUAGUAAUCGCAGAUCAGCAACGCUGCGGUGAAUACGUUCCCGGGGCUUGUACACACCGCCCGUCAAGUCAUGAAAGUUGGUAACACCCGAAGCCGGUGGCCUAACCGUUGUGGGGGAGCCGUCGAAGGUGGGACUGGUGAUUAGGACUAAGUCGUAACAAGGUAGCCGUACCGGAAGGUGCGGCUGGAUCACCU
rnacentral:rRNA from 6 species